rnacentral:rRNA from 1 species
GUAAGUAACCUGCCUUUAAGACGAGGAUAACAACCGGAAGGUUACUAAGACUGGAUAGGAAACAAAAAGGCAUCUUUUUGUUUUUAAAAGACCUUCUUACGAAGGUAUGCUUAAAGAGGGGCUUGCGCCACAUUAGUUAGUUGGUAGAGUAAAAGCCUACCAAGACGAUGAUGUGUAGCUGGACUGAGAGGUUGAACAGCCACAUUGGGACUGAGACACGGCCCAAACUCCUACGGGAGGCAGCAGUAGGGAAUUUUCGGCAAUGGAGGAAACUCUGACCGAGCAACGCCGCGUGUGUGAAGAAGGCCUUCGGGUUGUAAAGCACUUUAAGUUGGGAGGAAAAGCUAAGGGUUAAUAGCCUUUAGUGUUGACGUUACCAACAGAAUAAGCACCGGCUAACUCCGUGCCAGCAGCCGCGGUAAUACGGAGGGUGCAAGCGUUAAUCGGAAUUACUGGGCGUAAAGCGCGCGUAGGCGGUUAUUUAAGUCAGAUGUGAAAGCCCCGGGCUUAACGCUGGGAAUGGCAUUUGAGACUGGAUGGCUAGAGUAUGGUAGAGGUGAGUGGAAUUUCAGGUGUAGCGGUAAAAUGUGUAAAUAUAUGGAGGAACACCAGAAGCGUAGGCGGCUUGCUGGGUCUUUACUGACGCUGAGGCACGAAAGCGUGGGUAGCAAACAGGAUUAGAUACCCUGGUAGUCCACGCCGUAAACGAUGAGUACUAAGUGUCGGGGUAAAACUCGGUACUGAAGUUAACACAUUAAGUACUCCGCCUGAGUAGUACGUACGCAAGUAUGAAACUUAAAGGAAUUGACGGGACUCCGCACAAGCGGUGGAUCAUGUUGUUUAAUUCGAAGAUACACGAAAAAUCUUACCAGGUCUUGACAUACUCUGCAAAGCUAUAGAAAUAUAGUGGAGGUUAUCAGGGAUACAGGUGGUGCAUGGUUGUCGUCAGUUCGUGUCGUGAGAUGUUAGGUUAAGUCCUAAAACGAACGCAACCCUUGUCGUUAAUUGCCAGCACAUAAUGGUGGGGACUUUAACGAGACUGCCAAUUAAACAUUGGAGGAAGGUGAGGAUUACGUCAAAUCAUCAUGCCCCUUAUGAUCUGGGCUACAAACGUGAUACAAUGGCUGUGACAAAGAGUAGCUGAAACGCGAGUUUUUAGCCAAUCUCAAAAAAGCAGUCUCAGUUCGGAUUGAAGUCUGUAACUCGACUUCAUGAAGUUGGAAUCGCUAGUAAUCGCGAAUCAGCAUGUCGCGGUGAAUACGUUCUCGGGGUUUGUACACACCGCCCGUCAAACCACGAAAGUUAGCAAUGCCCGAAAGCAGUAGCUUAACUUCGCAAGAAGAGGGAACUGUCUAAGGUAGGGUUGAUGAUUGGGG